GGAUACCUGAGGUAAUUCUUGAGCUAAUACAUGAACUUAAGCAGAGUGCCUCGCGUGCUCUGUCCAUUUAUUAGACCAAAACCAGGCGGCUUCGGUCGUUUUUUGGUGACUCUGAAUAACUUCGUCAAUCGCAUGAUCUCGCAUCGGCGAUACGUCAAUCAAGUUUCUGCCCUAUCAACUUUUGAUGGUUCUGUAUUGGAGAACCAUGGUGAUAACGGGUAACGGAGAAUUAGGGUUUGACUCCGGAGAGGGAGCCUGAGAAACGGCUACCACAUCCAAGGAAGGCAGCAGGCGCGAAAAUUACCCACUCUCAGUGCGAGGAGGUAGUGACGAAAAAUAACAAGGCGGAUCACUUUGUGAGCCGCUAUUGGAAUGGGUACAAUUUAAACCCUUUAACGAGGACCUAUGAGAGGGCAAGUCUGGUGCCAGCAGCCGCGGUAAUUCCAGCUCUCAAAAUGUACUUAACCAUUGUUGCGGUUAAAAAGCUCGUAGUUGGAUCUACGCGAUGCGAGGUGGUUCGUUCUUUGGACGUUCACUGCCUCGUGUCGCUCUCUGUUGUCGGUUUUCGGCAGGUGCUCUUUACGGGGUGCUUGUCGUGACUGACGAGUUUACUUUGAAUUAAUUGGAGUGCUUAAAACAGGCGUUUCGCUUGAACAGUCUAGCAUGGAAUAAUGGAAUAGGACUUCGGUUCGAUUUUAUUGGUUUUAUGGAUCGAAGUAAUGAUUAGUAGGAACAAACGGGGGCAUUCGUAUUGUAGCGUUAGAGGUGAAAUUCUAGGAUCGCUGCAAGACGGUCGACUGCGAAAGCAUUUGCCAAGAAUGUUUUCAUUAAUCAAGAACG
rnacentral:rRNA from 1 species